UACGGAGGGUGCAAGCGUUAUCCGGAUUCACUGGGUUUAAAGGGUGCGUAGGUGGGCAGGUAAGUCAGUGGUGAAAUCUCUGGGCUUAACCCGGAAACUGCCGUUGAUACUAUCUGUCUUGAAUAUAGUGGAGGUGAGCGGAAUAUGUCAUGUAGCGGUGAAAUGCUUAGAUAUGACAUAGAACAUCGAUUGCGAAGGCAGCUCGCUAUACUAUGAUUGACACUGAGGCACGAAAGCGUGGGGAUCAAACAGG
rnacentral:rRNA from 1 species